GAUUGGGAUUACAGGCAGUUCUUUAGGACUGCUCUCAAAUAAUUGAAAUGUUACUAAACAAGGUUAUACUUAUCAAAUUAAAUAGCUCUGGUCUCCAGUAUAUUGGCGAAUUCGGUUCUUUGUACUUAAUUUAUUAGCAUGAUUUCUUUUUAAUAUGUUGUGUACAGACUUAAUUACUUCUCUGUCUACUUUUCUUACUCCAUGUAGGUUUCCCAGAGACUAUGGGUUGAGGAGGAAGUGGAAGUUUGUCGGCUUAGACCUGGUGUCAUUCCAUCAGUGUUAAACUUCCCGGCUCAUCUUGGAAGAGUACGUGCCAGAAAGACCACGACCAAGCAGCCUUGAGAUCUUAGACAGCGUCUCCCUGAGGUCUCUCUCUAUCUCCCCACACAUCCACCAACCACUGGAACACAUCUCCAAAGUUCUGCCGGGCCAGCUCAGCUUCCCCUCAGAAGAAGUGCCGCCACCUGCCAGAUGAAGGAGCCUUUUGAGAGGCAGCUGGCAUCGUGAUUGGACUGUACUUUGGUCUGUUCCAGUCCAGCUUCAGCUCCAGAGACGGCAGGCGGGACGAGUCAACGGAGGCCGGAUGGACGAAGGCAUGCAGCUGAGUACAAUCCAGAAAACAACAGAAGAGGAGUGCAGCAGCCCAGGGCCAGAACAACCAGAGUAGCAUCGUAUGUCUCUUAGAAAACAUCAUAGUAUAGCCUUUGGUAUGAAAAAACACCAUCAUAUACAUCGUAUAUUGUACAUAUAAGAAGUCAAAGGAAAGAGACACACAUUGUAGAAUCGUAGUAAUUGUGGGCUGACUGAUUUACUGAUUAUCAGUAUUUUAUUUUUUACUGAUUUACGGUAAUAAAUACAUUUAAAAAUGGUG